rnacentral:rRNA from 1 species
CCUACGGGGGGCAGCAGUGAGGAAUAUUGGUCAAUGGUCGGAAGACUGAACCAGCCAUGCCGCGUGCAGGAAGGAGGUCCUAUGGAUUGUAAACUGCUUUUUUCGGGGAAUAAUAAGACUUUUGCGAAGGUUGAUGCAGGUACCCGAAGAAUAAGGAUCGGCUAACUCCGUGCCAGCAGCCGCGGUAAUACGGAGGAUUCGAGCGUUAUCCGGAUUUAUUGGGUUUAAAGGGUGCGUAGGCGGUUAGAUAAGUUUGAGGUUAAAUGCUUCUGCUCAACAGGAGUUUGCCUUGAAAACUGUCUGACUAGGAUGUAAACGGCGCAGGCGGAAUGAAUCAUGUAGCGGUGACAUGCAUAGAUAUGAUUCAGAACACCGAUCGCGAAGGCAGCUUGCGAGGAUACGAUUGACGCUGAAGCACGAAAGCGUGGGUAUCGAACAGGAUUAGAUACCCGAGUAGUC